GAUGAACGCUGGCGGCGUGCUUAACACAUGCCAGUCGAACGAAGCACUUAAGAUUGAUUCUUCGGAUGACGUCUUUUGUGACUUAGUGGCGGACGGGUGAGUAACGCGUGGGUAACCUGCCUCACACAGGGGGAUAACAGUUAGAAAUGACUGCUAAUACCGCAUAACCCGAUAGGAUCGCAUGAUCCAGACGGAAAAGAUUUAUCGGUGUGAGAUGGACCCGCGUCUGAUUAGCUAGUUGGUGAGGUAACGGCCCACCAAGGCGACGAUCAGUAGCCGGCCUGAGAGGGUGAACGGCCACAUUGGGACUGAGACACGGCCCAAACUCCUACGGGAGGCAGCAGUGGGGAAUAUUGCACAAUGGGGGAAACCCUGAUGCAGCGACGCCGCGUGAGUGAAGAAGUAUUUCGGUAUGUAAAGCUCUAUCAGCAGGGAAGAAAAUGACGGUACCUGACGAAGAAGCCCCGGCUAACUACGUG
rnacentral:rRNA from 1 species